GCCAGUGUGGUGUAGUGGUUUGCGUGUUGGUCUAUGACCCUGGAGAGCAGGGUUCAAAUUCCCCGCUCAGCCA